rnacentral:miRNA from 1 species
UCCCAUGAUGACAGAUGAGAUA